AUGCUACUCCCUCCGUCUGGAAAUACUUGUCGGAGAAAUGCCUAAAAAUGAAUGUAUCUAGAUCUAAAAUACAUCUAGAUACAUUAAUUUUUUCGACGAGUAUUUUCGGACGGAGGGAGUACUAU
rfam:Triticum aestivum genome assembly, contig: Triticum_aestivum_CS42_TGACv1_scaffold_593996_7BS